rnacentral:SRP_RNA from 1 species
GUGGGGGAUAUCGCCAAUCCCUGUGACCCGCAAGGCGUAAUGCGGGCACCAGUAACUCCUACCCCAUGGUGUCUCCUAUCUGUAGGUCCCAGUGGAGCUAUGAAGGCUGCCCAGCGGGGCUUGGCGGUCAUGGGCUUCCUCUCCGGAGGGAGGGGAAGUACCACGAUAGCUGGGGGAAUCGGCGAGGCCCGGAAGGGAGCAGCCGUGCCCGGACGCCAGCGUUCGCUGGUCAACAGUCAGAGUGAAACUGGGGCAAGCCUAUAGAUAGGUAGGCCAUGGAGUAGGGGG